AAAUUGAAGAGUUUGAUCAUGGCUCAGAUUGAACGCUGGCGGCAGGCCUAACACAUGCAAGUCGAACGGUAACAGGAAGCAGCUUGCUGCUUUGCUGACGAGUGGCGGACGGGUGAGUAAUGUCUGGGAAACUGCCUGAUGGAGGGGGAUAACUACUGGAAACGGUGGCUAAUACCGCAUAACGUCGCAAGACCAAAGAGGGGGACCUUCGGGCCUCUUGCCAUCAGAUGUGCCCAGAUGGGAUUAGCUUGUUGGUGAGGUAACGGCUCACCAAGGCGACGAUCCCUAGCUGGUCUGAGAGGAUGACCAGCCACACUGGAACUGAGACACGGUCCAGACUCCUACGGGAGGCAGCAGUGGGGAAUAUUGCACAAUGGGCGCAAGCCUGAUGCAGCCAUGCCGCGUGUAUGAAGAAGGCCUUCGGGUUGUAAAGUACUUUCAGCGGGGAGGAAGGUGUUG
rnacentral:rRNA from 37 species